rnacentral:lncRNA from 1 species
UCAUAGCUCUUAUCCCUGGUCAGGGAGAGCUUUGAUCAAUGGAAAGUGUGGGAGUUCAGAAAGUAGGAACUCUUCUCUACAAGUGAUUGACUCUAUAAGAUCUUGGGUUCUUAUUCACAAUGCAUCAACACAUGGUGUGAGCAAGGUGAAUGACACACUGAGUAGCAGGAGAUGGAUUACACAUCUCUUUUAUCUGCCAAUUGCCUCAUGAGAGGACUUUACCUGCUUGGCACAAAAUUAAAC